UAUAAAAUAUUAUAAUUAUUUAAAUAAUAUUAUAUAUAUAUAUAAUAUAUGUAAUAAAUAUAAUAUUAAUCAUUAUAAAUAUAAAUUAAAUUUUUAUUCUUAUAU
rnacentral:tRNA from 2 species